rnacentral:misc_RNA from 1 species
CAAAACAAACACACUUUUAUAAAUAGACGCAACAGGAACAGAAACCAACAACAUGACACAAUUCAAAGUGCAGAAACAUAAAAGGCUUCUGGUGGAACACCAAAAGGCAAGACUAGUUGAGAAAUUGCACACAGACGUUGCAAAUCCCAACAGACACAAGUUUGGACGUAUAAGUCCAUUAUUCUGAGAAAACAACAGACACUGAAAUAAAAACAACAAUACGACCCUCAAGACAACACUACUCCUUUCCUUCUUUCUCUUCCUCCUUCCAGCAGCCCUUCAGAACGGACUUGGGAGAUUCACAGUAAGGAGUUCUAGUGAACUUCUGGUAGACAAUGGAACCGCCUUUGCCAAACUCUUCUGGACUCCACUCAGCAAGAGAGUAGCCCUUAACAUCAACAGAGCAAACAUGCUCCAGUAACUUGGUAGCAACAUCAGCAUGCAGAGCAAUAGAGAACUCAGCUGGCUCAAAACAUGCAAGCACCCUCUCAACCAGGGGACCCAACUCAUUGGUUUUAGGAUCAUAUCCAACAGAUUCAAAGCUGGCAUAGCUAAAGCCGUCCUCCGGGGUAAUGUGAAUGGUUGAAACAGCAGCUCCUUCAAUAGAAUUCAUAGAAUAACCACAGGGUUCAAACUCAAAAUCACAUAUCUCAGACUUGGGGAGGAUCUUCCUGAUGCCAGAUCUAACAGUCAUGUGAGCAGCCGAACUUUCUUCAGUUUUGUAGAAGACAGAUGCCUUCUCCCUGUUCAAACCAGUCAUACACAUCUCAAGAGUGUAAACAGGGUCAUUACACUGAACAGUCCCAGCUGAGGCAGAGUAGACAUGCCAUUUCUGUGAUUAUGGGAAAUCCCGACAAAACACAGAAAUGGCAUGUCUAC